GAUGAAGAACGCAGCGAAAUGCGAUAAGUAAUGUGAAUUGCAGAAUUCAGUGAAUCAUCGAAUCUUUGAACGCACAUUGCGCCCCCUGGUAUUCCGGGGGGCAUGCCUGUUCGAGCGUCAUUUCAACCCUCAAGCUCUGCUUGGUGUUGGGGCCCUACGGUUGACGUAGGCCCUUAAAGGUAGUGGCGGACCCUCUCGGAGCCUCCUUUGCGUAGUAACUAACGUCUCGCAUUGGGAUUCGGAGGGACUCUUGCCGUAAAACCCCCAAAUUUUCUAAUGGUUGACCUCGGAUCAGGUAGGAAUACCCGCUGAACUUAAGCAUAUCAAUAAGCGGAGGA
rnacentral:misc_RNA from 1 species